UUGAAGAAUUUAAAGACUUCAACUUGCAUACUUGGAGGAUUUGAAGACGUCAUCUUGCAUACUUGGAGGAUUUGAAGACUUAAACUUGCAUAUUUGGAGGAUUUGAAGAUUUCAACU